CAACUCUAUUUAACAGCUUUUACACCAGUUUUGAAAUGAAGAUUUAGCGUUUGAAGUUUACGUUUGGCGUAUAAAUUUCAUGCUUUAACGACUACAAGCUCUCGUAGCAGUCCAAGCAUAAAUUAAAAUUUAUACGCCAAACGUCAACUUCAAACGCCAGAUCUUAAUUUACAGCUUUGGUGAAUACGUGGACUAGUGGUAAAUUUGCUUUCUUAAAUCAUUGCUAAAGAGUAAAGAGCACAUAUUUAAUAAUUGUUUAAUAUAUUCUAAAACUGGUGAAAAGCUGUUAUAAUAGAGUUGUAUAGUACCAAACACUUCGUUAGCGGUUUGACGUUUGCCGUAAACGCCAAGUUAAAGCAAUAAAGGUCUCUGUGACUUCGCCAGUAAGAAAAUAUAGCCGAAUCGUUCUGUUUCUGUGACAAGACUGGGUUUGCUACAAAAUUGUUUGAUGUUUUGAUGAGAAGGUGAGUUCUACUGCAGUUAAAUUGACAUAAACUUUAUUUUAUGAACUACUAGUUAGAAGUGUAGAUAUUUUAUACG
rnacentral:lncRNA from 1 species